AGCUCGCGGCGGAUUAGCUAGUUGGCGGGGUAACGGCCCACCAAGGCUUCGAUCCGUAGCCGGCCUGAGAGGGCGGACGGCCACACUGACACUGAAUACACGGGUCAGACUCCUACGGGAGGCAGCAGUCGGGAAUUUUGGGCAAUGGGCGCAAGCCUGACCCAGCAACGCCGCGUGAAGGAUGAAGUUUUUCGGAAUGUAAACUUCACAAGAACUGGAAGAAUAAGCGCGUGUUAAUAGCACGCGUGAUGACGGUACAGUUUGUAAGCUCCGGCUAACUUCGUGCCAGCAGCCGCGGUAAUACGAGGGGAGCAAGCGUUGUUCGGAUUUACUGGGCGUAAAGGGCGCGUAGGCGGCACUACAAGUCACCUGUGAAAACUGCGGGCUCAACCCGCGAGCUGCCAGGUGAAACUGUAGAGCUAGAGUGCGGAAGGGGCAACUGGAAUUCUCGGUGUAGCGGUGAAAUGCGUAGAUAUCGAGAGGAACACCUGCGGCGAAGGCGGGUUGCUGGGCCGACACUGACGCUGAGGCGCGAAAGCCAGGGGAGCGAACGGGAUUAGAUACCCCGGUAGUCCUGGCCUUAAACGAUGGAUGCUUGGUGUCCGGAGUAUGAAAGCCUCCGGGUGCCGUCGCAAACGCAUUAAGCAUCCCGCCUGGGGAGUACGGUCGCAAGACUGAACUCAAAGGAAUUGACGGGGACCCGCACAAGCGGUGAGCAUGUGGUUUAUUUCGACGCAACGCGAAGACCUUACCUAGCCUAGAUGCCCCGGACCGCUCCGUAAUGGGAGCUUCACUGGGAAACCAGUGCCGGUG
rnacentral:rRNA from 1 species